UUGAGCUUGAUCCCUGGCUCAGAUUGAACGCUGGCGGCAGGCCUAACACAUGCAAGUCGAGCGGCAGCACGGGUACUUGUACCUGGUGGCGAGCGGCGGACGGGUGAGUAAUGCCUAGGAAUCUGCCUGGUAGUGGGGGAUAACGCUCGGAAACGGACGCUAAUACCGCAUACGUCCUACGGGAGAAAGCAGGGGACCUUCGGGCCUUGCGCUAUCAGAUGAGCCUAGGUCGGAUUAGCUAGUUGGUGAGGUAAUGGCUCACCAAGGCGACGAUCCGUAACUGGUCUGAGAGGAUGAUCAGUCACACUGGAACUGAGACACGGUCCAGACUCCUACGGGAGGCAGCAGUGGGGAAUAUUGGACAAUGGGCGAAAGCCUGAUCCAGCCAUGCCGCGUGUGUGAAGAAGGUCUUCGGAUUGUAAAGCACUUUAAGUUGGGAGGAAGGGCAGUUACCUAAUACGUAUCUGUUUUGACGUUACCGACAGAAUAAGCACCGCCACU
rnacentral:rRNA from 1 species